UACAGAGGGGGCAAGCGUUAUUCGGAAUUAUUGGGCGUAAAGGGCGCGUAGGCGGCCUGUCAAGUGAAAGGUGAAAUCCCUCGGCUUAACCGAGGAACUGCCUUUCAGACUGCUUGGCUUGAGACCGGGAGAGGUGAGUGGAAUUCCCAGUGUAGCGGUGAAAUGCGUAGAUAUUGGGAGGAACACCGGUGGCGAAGGCGGGUCUCUGGGCAGUAACUGACGCUGAGGAGCGAAAGCGUGGGGAGCGAACAGG
rnacentral:rRNA from 1 species